rfam:Tupaia chinensis contig177153, whole genome shotgun sequence.
GUGCUAGCUCACUUUGGCAGCACAUAUACUAAAAUUGUAAUGAUACAGAGAAGAUUAGCAUGGCCCCUGCACAAGGAUGACACACAAAUUCAUGAAGCGUUCCAUAUUUUU